rnacentral:rRNA from 1 species
GUGGGGAGCAAACAGGAUUAGAUACCCUGGUAGUCCACGCUGUAAACGAUGAGUGCUAGGUGCUGGCCUAUAGAGGGUCGGUGCCGAAGUUAACGCAAUAAGCACUCCACCUGGGGAGUACGGCCGCAAGGCUGAAACUCAAAGGAAUUGACGGGGGCCCGCACAAGCGGUGGAGCACGUGGUUUAAUUCGACGCAACGCGAAGAACCUUACCAGAUCUUGACAUCUUCCUGAAUUAUUCUAUAAAAUGGAUAAGUCCUUCGGGACAGGAAAGACAGGUGGUGCAUGGUUGUCGUCAGCUCGUGUCGUGAGAUGUUAGGUUAAGUCCCGUAACGAGCGCAACCCUUAUGUUUAGUAGCCAGCGGGUUAGGCCGGGCACUCUGAACAGACUACCGUGGAGAACACGGAGGAAGGCGGGGAUGACGUCAAAUCAUCAUGCCCCUUAUGAUCUGGGCUACACACGUGCUACAAUGGCGGAUACAAGGGGAAGCGAAGGGGAGACCUGGAGCGAAUCCGAGAAAGUCCGUCCCAGUUCGGAUUGUAGUCUGCAACUCGACUACAUGAAGUUGGAAUCGCUAGUAAUCGCAGAUCAGCAUGCUGCGGUGAAUACGUUCCCGGGCCUUGUACACACCGCCCGUCACACCAUGGGAGUUGGGAGUGCCCAAAAGCAGUGGUCCAACCGCAAGGAGGAAGCUGUCUAAGGCAAGACCGAUGUCUGUUGAAGUCGUAACAAGGUAGCCGUAAUA